GACGAACGCUGGCGGCGCGCUUAACACAUGCAAGUCGAGCGAAGCGGUGGAAGGGAGAGUAACACGCGAGUAACCUGCCUUAGACAUCGGGAUAGCCUCGGGAAACCGGGAUUAAUACCAAAUGGUCUAAGAUGGACUCGAGUCCCAUUAACUAGUUGGUGAGGUAACGGCCCACCAAGGCGACGAUGGGUAGCCGGCCUGAGAGGCUGAACGGCGACAUUGGAACUGAGAAACGGUCCAAACUCUACGGGAGGCAGCAGUGGGGAAUAUUGCACAAUGGAGGGAACUCUGAUGCAGCUAGGCCGGGUGAACGAAGAAGGCUUUCGAGUCGUAAAGUUCUUUUAUAUGGGAAGCGGUACCAUAAGAAAAAGCCCCGGCUAACUACGUGCCAGCAGCCGCGGUAAUAC
rnacentral:rRNA from 1 species